CGGCGAGUGAACCGGGAAGAGCCCAGCACCGAAGCCUGUGUCCACUUGGUCACUAGGCAAUGUGGUGUUCAGGUCGUUCCGCAGAGGCACUGCUCCACCCUAAGUCCAGCAAUGAGUACGGUGGUAUGGACAUGGCCCAUAGAGGGUGAAAGGCCCGUAGGGGUGGAGUUCCGGCAUGUCAGUGCCUCUCUGGGUAGACCUUGGAGUCGGGUUGUUUGUGAAUGCAGCCCAAAGUGGGUGGUAAACUCCAUCCAAGGCUAAAUACUUGCACGAGUCCGAUAGCGAACAAGUACCGUGAGGGAAAGUUGAAAAGUACUUUGAAGAGAGGGUAAACAGCACGUGAAACCGCUCAGAGGUAAACGGGUGGAGUUGAACUGCAAGCACCGAGAAUUCAAACGGUGAGUGUGGCUUAGACUUGGUUAAAUCGGUUGAGCCCGGUAGUCUGCGCGAUAGCGGGCCUUCGCCUCUCAGGUGAAGGUGCACGAUGCACUCAUCAGGUGUUGUGCGCUGCCGGUGCUCUUCGGACCGACUUGCCGUUGCACUUUCUCGGUGUGAUCACCACGACCGGCACUGCUGUCUGGCUGACAUGGUCAAACCGGCCUUGCGUUGUCCUUGUGGCUUUGCUUGACCGGGAUGGCAGGUAGCUCGUUGGCUUGCUUGUGGCUUGCUACAAGCGCUCGGCCUUCGAGUGUAAUUAGCUGUCCAUGUCGGUACUGUGCAGUGUGUCGGAGACGGCGGCUUGUGGUGUGUGCGUGCGUGCUAGUUUGGUCGGCGGGCCUGAAUUGGAUUGCAUAGUUGCCUGUUUACGCAGGCCUAUCGAUGGUUCGGGCCCGCUUGCCGGCGGUUGCGUGCGUGACACUAAUUCCAGGGCCUAUAGUCUGUGGUGCAGUGGUAGACUAUCCACCUGACCCGUCUUGAAACACGGACCAAGGAGUGUAACAUGUGCGCGAGUCAUUGGGCACUACGAAACCCAAAGGCGCAGUGAAAGUAAAGGUCUGGCCCGCCCAGACUGAGGUGAGAUCCUGCCGUUUCUCACACAUGGUACCACCAAGUUUCGAGCGGCAGGCGCAUCACCGGCCCGUCCCAUGACAACUGUCUUCGGACAUUAUUCAGUCGGGGUGGAGCAUGAGCGUACAUGUUGCGACCCGAAAGAUGGUGAACUAUGCUUGUGCAGGUUGAAGCCAGAGGAAACUCUGGUGGAGGACCGCAGCGGUUCUGACGUGCAAAUCGAUCGCCAGACAUGAGUAUAGGGGCG
rnacentral:rRNA from 1 species